rnacentral:rRNA from 1 species
GACGAACGCUGGCGGCGUGCUUAACACAUGCAAGUCGAACGGAAAGGCCCUGCUUUUGUGGGGUGCUCGAGUGGCGAACGGGUGAGUAACACGUGAGUAACCUGCCCUUUACUUUGGGAUAACUUCAGUAAACUGGGGCUAAUACCGGAUAGGAGCUCCUUCUGCAUGGUGGGUGUUGGAAAGUUUCGGCGGUUGGGGAUUGACUCGCGGCUUAUCAGCUUGUUGGUGGGGUAGUGGAUUACCAAGGCUUUGACGGGUAGCCGGCCUGAGAGGGUGACCGGCCACAUUGGGACUGAGAUACGGCCCAGACUCAUACGGGAGGCAGCAGUGGGGAAUAUUGCACAAUGGGCGGAAGCCUGAUGCAGCAACGCCGCGUGCGGGAUGACGGCCUUCGGGUUGUAAACCGCUUUCGCCUGUGACGAAGCGUGAGUGACGGUAAUGGGUAAAGAAGCAACGGCUAACUACGUG